CGGCGUGUGGCGCAGCCUGGUAGCGCACUUGCUUCGGGAGCAAGGGGUCGGAGGUUCGAAUCCUCUCACGCCGACCA
rnacentral:tRNA from 1 species